CUCUGCCUGUCUCCACAGCAGACGCUCUGCUCCAUUCUCUUGGCAAAUCCAGGGGCAGCCACAGUGGACUCACUUGGCUUCCUCCAGCUCCUCCGUCCUCUGUAUGGCAUCCGUCUCAUACUUGGUCCUCCACUGGGCCACCUCUGAGUUGGCCUUGGACAGGACACGCUGUAGCUCAGCCUUGGCCUCCAUUUCUUCUUCAUACUGUUCCCUCAGCAGGUCACAGUCAUGCCGGGAUGAUUGCAGUGCGUGGGCCAGGGCGUUCUUGGCCUGGGAAGAGGUUGGCUCGCUGUGUGGUGAAGUCAUUGAGGGAGCGCUGGGCUUCUUCCAGCUUCACGCGGUACUCAUUGGCCUGGUCCUCCAGUGUCCGGGACACUUUCUCCAGGUUGGCCUGCAGGCAUUAAUGAGCAGAGGAAAGGUGAAUGUGGAAAGGGCCACGACUGGCAGGGAGGAGGGGAGCUGCUGAGAGGGCCCACCUUGGCCUUGAUGAUCUGCU
rnacentral:lncRNA from 1 species